AGCACCUGAGAAUGGUCACAUAGGAAUUAGGGCUUCUCCCCCAAAAAAGGUGGUGGGAUCAAUAGCCCAACUGAAGUGCAUCUACACCAAAACACACAGCAUGGG